rnacentral:rRNA from 1 species
AGCGAACGCUGGCGGCAGGCCUAACACAUGCAAGUCGAACGAACCUUUCGGGGUUAGUGGCGGACGGGUGAGUAACACGUUGGAACGUGCCUUUAGGUUCGGAAUAACUCAGGGAAACUUGUGCUAAUACCUAAUGUGCCCUUCGGGGGAAAGAUUUAUCGCCUUUAGAGCGGCCCGCGUCUGAUUAGUUAGUUGGUUGAGGUAAUGGCUCACCAAGGCGACGAUCAGUAGCUGGUCUGAGAGGAUGAUCAGCCACAUUGGGACUGAGACACGGCCCAAACUCCUACGGGAGGCAGCAGUGGGGAAUCUUGCGCAAUGGGCGAAAGCCUGACGCAGCCAUGCCGCGUGAAUGAUGAAGGUCUUAGGAUUGUAAAAUUCUUUCACCGGGGACGAUAAUGACGGUACCCGGAGAAGAAGCCCCGGCUAACUUCGUG